rnacentral:rRNA from 1 species
CCUACGGGGGGCAGCAGUGGGGAAUAUUGGGCAAUGGGCGCAAGCCUGACCCAGCAACGCCGCGUGAAGGAAGAAGGCUUUCGGGUUGUAAACUUCUUUUCUGAGGGACGAAGAAAGUGACGGUACCUCAGGAAUAAGCCACGGCUAACUACGUGCAAGCAGCCGCGGGAAUACGUAGGUGGCAAGCGUUAUCCGGAUUUAUUGGGUGGAAAGGGCGUGUAGGCGGGUAGGCAAGUCAGAUGUGAAAACUCAGGGCACAACCCUGAGCCUGCAUUUGAAACUGUUUUUCUUGAGUGCUGGAGAGGCAAUCGGAAUUCCGUGUGUAGCGGUGAGAUGCGUAGAUAUACGGAAGAACACCAGUGGAGAAGGCGGAUUGCUGGACAGUAACUGACGCUGAGGCGCGAAAGCGUGGGGAGCAAACAGGAUUAGAUACCCCAGUAGUC